GCCUGGGUGGCUCAGCCGGUCAAGCGUCUGACUUUGACUCAGGUCAUGAUCUCAUGGUUCGUGGGUUCGAGCCCCACAUUGGGCU
rnacentral:tRNA from 1 species